CCUACAUAUGCCCUAUCGAGUUGGAAUCCUCUGCGGCUCCACGUCGAAUGGAUCCCUAUUGAUCACACACACGUGUAAACGCUCGCAUGUGCAAGUGUUGAGAUCUGUCCAACCUGCAGGGGAUCCCAACUCCUACCCCCUAAUCUAUAAUGCACCUUUAUAUUGGGACGGCAUUCUCUACUAUAGGAGCUCACACUUCCUUUCUUUAAUUGUUUUUUUUAUGGAAUAUUGUAUGUGAAAUUUACAAAAUGUACAAUAAGAUAGAGCAAUUAUAAAAAACUCAAAGUUGCAUGUCCAUUUUACCUUUUAGGAAAUUGCUCAAGUGGACCUCCACGUUGUCCUCUGUCUCUGUGUUUGUGUGUGUGUGAGAGAGAGAGAUCUAAUUAACCAAAAAUAUUUCAUUUUCUGCAACAUACAGUCCAAAAUUUAGAAGUACAUCUAAUGAAAUAAUUCAGUUUAGACUUGAGACAUCUCACUGAGACAAAGAUGCCAUUUAAUUUUGUGUAUGAAUAUUGUUUCCCAUCCAAAUCCCCAAUAUGAGCUCCACAGAACACAUUUUUAUAUUUUCUCAAAUGGAGGACAAGACCCUAUAUAUAUAUAUAUAUAUAUAUAUAUAUAUGUCUUUUUUUAAACUUAGUGUACCCAAGGACUAGGAGAUAGUGAGGUCCCCUUUGGUCUACAUGAAGAUGCAAACCAAAGCGAAGGAAGAAUUUUUUCUGUGGACCCAAUCAUUUUAAAGCAACACUGGUACCAAUUACUUUUUUUUCUUUUUUGCAAAAUACUGAUCUGACUCUCACUCUCUCUCUCUCUCUCUCUCUCUAUAUAUAUAAAUGCAAAAAGAAAUACUUCCAGUCUUCGCUCGAUCUAUAAAGAAAACGAAUCAGUCCUUACCCGCCAAGUUGAAAACUACAAUAUUUGCCUAACCCUGCUCUCUCUCUCUCUCUCUCUCUCACACACACACACACACACACACAUCAUGAUUGUUUCAACCUCAUUUUCAUUUCUAUCUCAGAAAGGGCAGUUAUUAUGUGUUGGGGAGGAUAUUUAGAAGAAAAGGGGAGAGAAUUUAAUAUGGGUGGCAGGGGUAGGGUUUUGAGGGCUUUGUUAGGAGUUGUUCUGUUCAUGGGGUUUAUCUUGUUUUUAUUAAUUGGUAUUGAAACCAACUACGAAGCCACAACCAUUACUGUAAUGAUUUCGUCGUCAGCGAAUUCUAGAUUCUUGAAUUUGAUUGGAACAGAGAGACAUGAUGUUCACUGGGAUUUGGAUCUGAAUUAUGUAAGCAAAAGGAGAGUACCUAAUGGAGCUGAUCCGAUUCAUAACAGGAAAGCAGGUAAAUUUAAACUACCACCUGGUCGAGCUUAAGUGGAAGGCAUUUGCAUGGCGAAGGAGAAAAAAAUGUUUAAGCUUGUAGGUCAUGUUUUCUUGCACUUGUUGCAGUGAACCAUGCUUCUUCACUUUGGGAUUUGUUGUCAUGUGUUUAGCAGAGAAAAGAAUCAAUAUAGCCAAGUUAUUUACUCUUGUAAUUGAUAUAGCCAAGUUACUAAUUAAGUUCCUAUUGUGCUUCUCUCUCCCUCUCUUUUUUAUUUUAUUUUUCAACCAAGUUGUUAUUGCGCCUCCUUGUUACUGAGUUUGAGUAUUGGCAGUGUGUGAUUGGUGACUUCAUGUUAAAGAAUUUGUGUAUGCUCAGAAGUUUCUUUUCUAUGAGUCCGGAUGCUCUACAGUACAACAUGGAUGUAUCACAUCAGACGGCUCAUCACACAUACACAUCGCGCAUGUGUGUGUGGUGUGCCGUUGGAUGUGGUCCCGUGCUAUUGGAUAUCAAGAGAGACAGAGAUUCAUGGAAUGGGAUUUUAGUUUGCAUGGAAAAGGAAGAAGAGAAGAGGUAGAUACAAUGAUAAAAGUUGUUGCACAAUCCAAGAAAUGUGUUAGUCUCCAGACAUCUUCUGGAGACAUGGAAGAUAAACCUAAUGGACAAUUGCUUUUGGUUUUCUGAAGCAAUACAAUACCUUUAUCUUGUGUUCCUUGUAUAAAGCUAUUCCACUUAUCAAUUAAAGCUUCUCUCUUUUCCAAAAAUGUUUUUUCCUUUAUUUGUGAUUCAAUAGUACUGUGACAAUUUCAUGUUA